rnacentral:rRNA from 1 species
UACGUAGGUGGCAAGCGUUGUCCGGAAUUAUUGGGCGUAAAGCGCGCGCAGGCGGUCCUUUAAGUCUGCUGUGAAAGCCCCGGGCUCAACCUGGGAAUGGCAGUGGAUACUGGCAAGCUAGAGUGCGGUAGAGGGGUGUGGAAUUCCCGGUGUAGCGGUGAAAUGCGUAGAGAUCGGGAGGAACACCAGUGGCGAAGGCGGCACCCUGGACCAGCACUGACACUGAGGCACGAAAGCGUGGGGAGCAAACAGG